UGCACACGUUGCAGAGGCUAAUGGUAAUCUCCUACCAGAACUCCCACCAACUCUGGAUAAUCCCAAUCCUCGCUAAAAAGGAUUGGGGUUGGAAGUGAUUAUUGGCUUUUCUUUAGCCAUGCAGAAAUUGGAGCCGAGUGUCAGCCCGCCGACUCUAUACGAGAGGCCUAGCAGGCUCCACUACAACCCGCUCGCACAGCUAUCAGUCAGAUUCUCUGUUCCUCACAAAAUGAUUCAAUCAACUAAUUGAAGACAUACAGUGAUUAUUGUCGAAAAAAAAACCUUUGAAUUAAAGAGAAUUUAUUUCAAGGUUUAGUUAAAUAUUAUUUAUCUCUGAAUAAUAUUGACGGAGUGUGACUGUCCUAGCAUAUCACUACACCAACAUGGGAGAGUCAAAGUAAGGUAACUUAUUUAUCUACUUGACUCACCCAAUGUCACUCACCCUUACACAUCAGCGCAGAAGCAAGAUCAUCCUUCAACUCCCCUUUGAGUCCCAUCCUCAUCACCACCUUCACAAUCGGCAACACCAGCCUCCUCCCCAAUCCCACACCAAGCAAGGACCUCCUAUCCUCAUCGCUCUAUAGCUCGCUCGCCUUGCCAAUCAACCCCCAUCUUCGUCCCCGCAUCCAACCUCCCCUUGCGGCAAACCCAACUCACAGACUGCCCCCGUGGUGUUGACAUCCGCGACUGGUCUUCCGCUCCUCCAACGCAAUCCCCCUGUCAGAACAUAGACAUACUGCCCCAGUCUCCUUUUGCGUGCCUCAGGAGCUUGAUCAGCAUGUAAGACGCGCGAAUCUGCUGUUUUGUAGUUUGUACGUCCGGAAACGGAAGAGGCGGUAGCCUCGUCGGUCUUUGAUGUCCAUGAUGUGAUGGUGUGGAAGAGGUGAGGUGGGAUGUUAGAAAAGAGGUCGGUGAGGGAGGAGAGAGAGGAGAUGUGUGUGUUUAAUCAGUGCAUGCACUUAGGCAAAAGGGGUUUUUGGAUCCUUGCUACAUCUGCGAUCUCCAGGCAACCGCUUGCUUAACUGCUGAGCUUAGCAUCGCGAGUUUCAACUUUCAAAAGAGAUACGGCAUAUCAUUGUAGGUAUCCCAACGAUGUUUCGUGAUGGUGUUUAGAGCAAAAGCGGAGAAGAUGUUCUUGGGUUGUUUGAACAACCUUGGUUGACUUAGGAAGAGGUGUCAAUGUUCAUCUGGUUCAAAACAGGAAACAAGACAGAACAACGACCACACUAUGCUGUUGGAUACAAUAUCUUGGUGUAGAAUAAAUGAAC
rnacentral:sRNA from 1 species